ensembl:lncRNA LINC00683 long intergenic non-protein coding RNA 683
GGUAGAUUCCGGGCAGGUGUGUCCUGGGCAGGGGAGUUCUGGGCAGGUGACAGAAACUCCAUUUGCACCAGCUUACAUUAAAAAAAGAGGAGGGAGAAUAUGGUCGAGUGACCCCAGGAGUGAUAGGGAGCACUGACGGAGUUUCUCCCUGCUCUGGAUAGCAGAUCCGCUGGCUCCCAGCUUAUGAUCCAUGAAGAGAACGUCUUCCCCUUGGGCUUCAAUUUGAAGAAUCCUGAAGACGACCCUGAUGGCCUUUCGCGGUCCACGUGCCCCUUCUUGCACUACCGUGAUGGUCCUAUCCACGGACGCCUUCUCUUGGGUUCUGUGGUUGGAUGCGGAGGAAUCAUCGAUCCUCUGUAGUGGAAGGGAAGGGAGGACACACCAAGACCAUGUGGCCCCAAGAGCCGUGAGAGGAGCAGAAGCCUGACUGGUGCCUCUUACAUGUCACUGCAGCCUCGGGGGGGGCCACCAGGAAAACACCUGACAUCCUGUUCUCUAGUAAUGGUGUGGCUGGAAUCAUUCCUGUACCAAAUAAUUCACCCAUUUAAAGUGUGCAAUCCAACAA